rnacentral:lncRNA from 1 species
GCGUGCAUCCGGGUCCCCGCGCAGUGGCUGCACGCAGCCCACCUCUCCCGACGAUCCGGGUCCUCCCGCCCUUCGCGGUGAUUCUGUCGCGAACCCUCUCACGGCAGCUAUGAGACUGCUGCGCUCCCCAGACGAGGAAACCUGGUCUCCCGGAGCCAGGUGGAGUCUCGCUCUGUCGCCCAGGCUGGAGUGCGGUGGCGCGAUCUCGGCUCACUGCAAGCUCCGCCUCCCGGGUUCACGCCAUUCUCCUGCCUCAGCCUCCCGAGUAGCUGGGACUACAGGUGCCCGCCACCGCGCCCGGCUAAUUUUUUGUAUUUUUAGUAGAGACGGGGUUUCACCAAGUUAGCCAGGAUGGUGUCGAUCUCCUGACCUCGUGAUCCGCCCGCCUCGGCCUCCUACAGUGCUGGGAUUACAAGCGUGAGCCACUGCGCCUGGUCGCACCUCUUUUCAAAAGCCAGUGUUAUCUGGGAAAGUGCAAGGGGUGGGGAGUGGGAGGUGCUGUUUUCAAUGAAAAGAAAUGAAAGAGA